rnacentral:rRNA from 1 species
UACGUAGGGGGCAAGCGUUGUCCGGAAUUAUUGGGCGUAAAGAGCGUGUAGGCGGCCAGAUAAGUCCGCUGUGAAAUCUCGAGGCUCAACUUCGAGCUGUCGGUGGAAACUAUCUGGCUAGAGUCCGGAAGAGGAGAGUGGAAUUCCUGGUGUAGCGGUGAAAUGCGCAGAUAUCAGGAAGAACACCCGUGGCGAAGGCGGCUCUCUGGGACGGUACUGACGCUGAGACGCGAAAGCGUGGGGAGCGAACAGG